AAAAAAAAAAAAAAAAUUCAAUAUUUUUUUUAUUUUUUUAGAUUCUUUUUAUGAGUAGAAAAUCGUGGGGUUUUGUGUUGAAGCGAAAUACGUGAGUUUUCGUGGAACAUCUCCCUAGUGCAGAUCUUGGUGGAAGUAGCAAAUAUUCUUAUGAGAACUUUGAAGACUGAAGUGGAGAAGGGUUUUUUGUAAACUAUGUUUGAGCAAAAGUUAGCCGUUCCUAAGAGAUAGCUGAAAAGCGUUAUAAAUUGAGGUUACCUAUUAUAUGAAAAGUAUAGUAGUGUUUUUUCUCUUCUCGAAAGGGAAGCAGGUUGAUAUUCCUGCGCCAUAUGUAAUAAGAACUAAUAAAUAGAGAUGGUAACAUAUAUAUAAAUAAAUGAACUCCUUAACAUAGGCCUUACGCUUGGAGUGCGUUAUCUUUGCACUUUAACUUUAUAUCAAACCUUCGAAAUCGAUUUACUUGUAGAAAAGGUUCGAUGAAUUUACAAUAAGCAAUUUAUUUAUUAUAUGCGUGGACCGGUACACAUGAUAUAUAUAUUAAUGAAUUGUUUUGUAGUAAUAGUAAUUCGUUUGUUGUACGAAUUAUCCAAAGUUGUAUGGACUAUCCAUGAAAAAAGGAGGGAACACUAAAUUAAAUGGGAAUGUAUAAAAUACUAUAAAAGUAUGAAAGAAGAAAAAGUAAAGAAAGGAAAGAAAAAAAAAUAUUAACCUUCAGCUUUUUUUUCUAUUUUUUUUUUCUUUUUUUGCUUUCAUAUAUUUUUAUAGUGUUUUUACAUUAACCAUUUUUUUUUUUAUAUUCUUAAAUUACAAUUAUAAAAAUGAACGUACCAAUAACCGCAUCAGGUCUCCAAGGUUAGUAGCCUCUGGUUAAAUAGAAAAACGUAGGUAAGGGAAGUAAGCAAAUUAGAUCCGUAACUUCGGGAAAAGGAUUGGCUCUGAUAACACAAAAUGAGAAGAAAAAAAUGAAAAGAAAAAAAUGAAAAGAAUUGUGGUUGAAAAUAAAAAUGUUAAGAUGUUUAUUUAUAUAUUUAUAUUAGUUUUUCUUAUAUUUUAAGAUUAAUUAAUUAAUUAUAUAUUUAAUAUGUUAAAAUGUUUUAUAUUUCUUCUUCUACUCUAUUCUAUUCCAUUCUAUUCUAUUCUAUUUUUUUUUUUCUCUUUCUCUUCGAUAUUACAUAUAUUUUGUUAUUAUAAUAAAAAUUAUGUAAUAUUGUUUAGCUGUGUUUAUUCAGAACUGAAACGGACAAGGGGAAUCCGACUGUUUAAUUAAAACAUAGCAUUGUGAAAAGCUAUAACUGGUAUUAACACAAUGUGAUUUCUGCCCAGUGCUUUGAAUGUCAAGUUGAUGAAAAUUUCAAUUAAGCGCAGGUAAACGGCGGGAGUAACUAUUAUGACUCUCUUAAGGUAGCCAAAAAUGUAUGGUCGAUAAAAAGGACCAUCAGGAAUGGAUUAACGAGAUUCCUACUGUCCCUACUUGCGAUCUAGCGAAACCACAACCAAGGGAAAGGGCUUGGUAAAAUCAGCAGGGAAAGAAGACCCUGUUGUGCUUUACUCUAGUCUGACUUUGUAAAAAGAUUUAAGAGGUAUAGUAUAAGUGGUAGUAGAAAUUGAAAUAAUGUUUUUACGUCAGUGAAAUACCACUACUUUUAAAAAGUUUUUACUAAUCCAUUUAUCUAGUGAAUGACUAUUAUAUAAAUAUAUAUAUAUAUAUAUAUUUUCUAUAUUUUAUGUGUAUCACUUUUUAUGGAGACAGAGUCAGGUGGGGAGUUUGACUAAGGUGGUACAUCUGUUAAAAAAUAACGCAGAUGUCCAAAGAUAAGCUCAAGGAGAACAGAAAUCUCUUGUAGACUAAAAGGGGAAAAGCUUGUUUGAUUUCUAUUUUCAGAAAGAAUAGAAAACGUGAAAACGUGGCCUAUCGAUCCUUUAUAUUUGCAAAAUGACGUAAAAUUAUUUACUACUGUGCAUAUAAAGGUGUCUGAAAAGUUACCACAGGGAUAACUUGUUUGUGGCUGCUUAGCGAUAUUAGCAACGUGGCUUUUUGUAUUUUCGAUUACGGCUCUUCCUAUCAUUGGGACGCAGAAGUCUCAAAGUGUCGGAUUGUUCACCCGCUAAUAGGGAACGUGAGCUGGGUUUAGACCGUCGUGAGACAGGUUAGUUUUACCCUACUGAUGAAUAUUAUUAUAUUAUUAUAUAUAUAUAUAGUAUUGUGACAGUAAUCCAACUUGGUACGAGAGGAUUAGUUGGUUCAGACAAUUGGUACAGCAAUUGGGUUGAUAAACCAGUGUUGCGAAGCUACGUCUGUUGGAUAAUGACUGAACGAUUCUAAAGUCAGAACCCAUACUGAUUAAACAAUAAUAUAAUUGUAUAUUUUUGUUAUAAGGUUGUGUUUUAUUUUUUUUUAUUGCUAAUGUAAAAGAGAAAUUUAAUAUAUGCGUUAAUCUAUAUAUAUUAUGUAUAGAUUUUCAUAAACAUAUAAAUAAUCCCAUAAAGACGUAUCUUUUUUUUUUCUAAACAAAGAAAAAUAUGUUCUUUUUAUUGU
rnacentral:rRNA from 1 species